GAUGAAGAACGUAGCGAAAUGCGAUAAGUAAUGUGAAUUGCAGAAUUCAGUGAAUCAUCGAAUCUUUGAACGCACAUUGCGCCCCUUGGUAUUCCGAGGGGCAUGCCUGUUCGAGCGUCAUUAUAACCCCUCAAGCUCAGCUUGGUGUUGGGGCCUGCUGCACUGGCAGCCCUUAAAAUCAGUGGCGGCGCCAUCUGGCUCUAAGCGUAGUAAUUCUUCUCGCUAUGGAGUCCUGGUGGAUGCUUGCCAUCAACCCCCAAUUUUUCUAUGGUUGACCUCCGAUCAGGUAGGGAUACCCGCUGAACUUAAGCAUAUCAAUAAGCGGAGGA
rnacentral:misc_RNA from 1 species